AUUGGCAGCACCAGCACCAGCACCGCCGGCCUCAGGACCAAGUCCACCACCAGCGGGCGUUGACGGAGGCGGGUGUGCGGCUCUGGCGCAGCUGAGCCGUCGACCGCCGGAGCCAAUCCGGCAGUCCGGCAUUUCAGCUGCCGCACACUCGCCCGUCACAGGAUCAGAGGCCUCCCGAGACAGCUUCCCGUUUCCGACCGGCUGAGACGGCUGCCGUCCCAGCAUUGGCAGCACCACCACCAGCACCGCCGGCCUCAGGACCAAGCCCACCACCAGCGGGCGUUGACGGAGGCGGGUGUGCGGCUCUGGCGCAGCUGAGCCGUCGACCGCCGGAGCCAAUCCGGCAGUCC